rnacentral:rRNA from 1 species
AGUGAACGCUGGCGGUAGGCCUAACACAUGCAAGUCGAACGGCAGCACAGUAAGAGCUUGCUCUUACGGGUGGCGAGUGGCGGACGGGUGAGGAAUACAUCGGAAUCUACUUUUUCGUGGGGGAUAACGUAGGGAAACUUACGCUAAUACCGCAUACGACCUACGGGUGAAAGCAGGGGAUCUUCGGACCUUGCGCGAUUGAAUGAGCCGAUGUCGGAUUAGCUAGUUGGCGGGGUAAAGGCCCACCAAGGCGACGAUCCGUAGCUGGUCUGAGAGGAUGAACAGCCACACUGGAACUGAGACACGGUCCAGACUCCUACGGGAGGCAGCAGUGGGGAAUAUUGGACAAAGGGCGCAAGCCUGAUCCAGCCAUACCGCGUGGGUGAAGAAGGCCUUCGGGUUGUAAAGCCCCUUUGUUGGGAAAGAAAAGCAGCAGGUUAAUACCCCGCUGUUCUGACGGUACCCAAAGAAUAAGCACCGGCUAACUUCGUG